rnacentral:rRNA from 1 species
AAGGGAUGCCUUAGUAGCGGCGAGUGAAGCGGCAAAAGCUCAAAUUUGAAAUCUGGCGCCUUCGGUGUCCGAGUUGUAAUUUGAAGAUUGUAACCUUGGGGUUGGCUCUUGUCUAUGUUUCUUGGAACAGGACGUCACAGAGGGUGAGAAUCCCGUGCGAUGAGAUGCCCAAUUCUAUGUAAGGUGCUUUCGAAGAGUCGAGUUGUUUGGGAAUGCAGCUCUAAGUGGGUGGUAAAUUCCAUCUAAAGCUAAAUAUUGGCGAGAGACCGAUAGCGAACAAGUACAGUGAUGGAAAGAUGAAAAGAACUUUGAAAAGAGAGUGAAAAAGUACGUGAAAUUGUUGAAAGGGAAGGGUUUGAGAUCAGACUCGAUAUUUUGUGAGCCUUGCCUUCGUGGCGGGGUGACCCGCAGCUUAUCGGGCCAGCAUCGGUUUGGGCGGUAGGAUAAUGGCGUAGGAAUGUGACUUUACUUCGGUGAAGUGUUAUAGCCUGCGUUGAUGCUGCCUGCCUAGACCGAGGACUGCGAUUUUAUCAAGGAUGCUGGCAUAAUGAUCCCAAACCGCCCGUCUUGAACCACCGGACCA